GUAAGGAAUAUUGGACAAUGGACGGAAGUCUGAUCCAGCCAUGCCGCGUGAAGGAAGAAGGCGCUCAGCGUUGUAAACUUCUUUUAAAUGGGAACAAUAACUCCGACGUGCUCGGGGCUUGAGGGUACCAUUAGAAUAAGCACCGGCUAACUCCGUGCCAGCAGCCGCGGUAAUACGGAGGGUGCAAGCGUUAUCCGGAAUCACUGGGUUUAAAGGGUGCGUAGGCGGUUUGAUAAGUCAGUUGUGAAAUACCCCGGCUUAACCGGCGGUCGUGCAAUUGAUACUGUUGGACUUGAAUCAGGUUGAGGUAGGCGGAAUGUGGCAUGUAGCGGUGAAAUGCAUAGAUAUGCCAUAGAACACCGAUUGCGAAGGCAGCUUGCUGGACCUAGAUUGACGCUGAGGCACGAAAGCGUGGGGAGCAAACAGGAUUAGAUACCCCGGUAGUCC
rnacentral:rRNA from 1 species